rnacentral:pre_miRNA from 1 species
UGUUAAAAAUAUCAUCCCUUUAUAAUAUCAAAAACUAAUGUGGAUAAUAAAAUAACUAGACAGUGGCACAUAGUGUGUAACGUAUAUCUUAUGUUAAUGUACACGGACCAAUUUUUAAUAGUAAAAAUAGAUUAUUUUUUUAAUA